CAAACGGUUUCAAUGGAAACCACUAAUGACUUAAUUAACAACAAAU
rfam:Nicotiana attenuata strain TT scaffold03313, whole genome shotgun sequence.